GACGAACGCUGGCGGCGUGCCUAAUACAUGCAAGUAGAACGCUGAAGGAGGAGCUUGCUUCUCUGGAUGAGUUGCGAACGGGUGAGUAACGCGUAGGUAACCUGCCUGGUAGCGGGGGAUAACUAUUGGAAACGAUAGCUAAUACCGCAUAAGAGUAGAUGUUGCAUGACAUUUGCUUAAAAGGUGCAAUUGCAUCACUACCAGAUGGACCUGCGUUGUAUUAGCUAGUUGGUGGGGUAACGGCUCACCAAGGCGACGAUACAUAGCCGACCUGAGAGGGUGAUCGGCCACACUGGGACUGAGACACGGCCCAGAGUGCUACGGGAGGCAGCAGUAGGGAAUCUUGGGCAAGGGACGGAAGUCUGAGCGAGCAACGCCGCGUGAGGGAAGAAGGUUGUCGGAUCGGAAAGCUCUGUUGUAAGAGAAGAACGAGUGUGAGAGUGGAAAGUUCACACUGUGACGGUAACUUACCAGAAAGGGACGGCUAACUACGUG
rnacentral:rRNA from 1 species